CGCCAGGGCUGGACAGCACAGUCCCUCUGAGCUGCACGGAGACCUCGCAGGCCCCCGGAACUGUCGCCCUUCCAGGAUGUGGCUCCCUGCUCUUGUCCUGGCCACUCUCGCUGCUUCCGCGGCUUGGGCAGGGCAUCUGUCCUCGCCACCUUUGGUGGACACCCUGCAUGGCAAAGUGUUGGGGAAGUUCGUCAGCUUAGAAGGAUUUGCACAGCCUGUGGCCGUUUUCCUGGGAAUCCCUUUUGCCAAGCCGCCUCUUGGACCCCUGAGGUUUACUCUACCACAGCCUGCAGAGCCAUGGAACUUUGUGAAGAAUGCCACCUCGUACCCUCCUAUGUUCACCCAAGAUCCCAAGGCGGGGCAGUUAAUCUCAGAGCUAUUUACAAACUGAAAAGAGAACAUUCCUCUCAAGCUUUCUGAAGACUGUCUUUACCUCAAUAUUUACACUCCUGCUGACUUGACCAAGAAAAACAGGCUGCCGGUGAUGGUGUGGAUCCACGGAGGGGGGCUGAUGGUGGGUGCGGCAUCAACCUACGAUGGGCUGGCCCUUGCUGCCCAUGAAAACGUGGUGGUGGUGACCAUUCAAUAUCGCCUGGGCAUCUGGGGAUUCUUCAGCACAGGGGAUGAACACAGCCCGGGGAACUGGGGUCACCUGGACCAGCUGGCUGCCCUGCACUGGGUCCAGGACAACAUUGCCAGCUUUGGAGGGAACCCAGGCUCUGUGACCAUCUUUGGAGGGUCAGUGGGAGGAGAAAGUGUCUCUGUUCUUGUUUUGUCUCCAUUGGCCAAGAACCUCUUCCACCGGGCCAUUUCUGAGAGUGGCGUGGCCCUCACUUCUGUUCUGGUGAAGAAAGGUGAUGUCAAGCCCUUGGCUGAG
ensembl:lncRNA CES1P1 carboxylesterase 1 pseudogene 1